UACGGAGGGGGCAAGCGUUAUUCGGAAUUAUUGGGCGUAAAGGGCGCGUAGGCGGCUUUGUAAGUCGGGGGUGAAAGCCUGUGGCUCAACCACAGAAUUGCCUUCGAUACUGCAUGGCUUGAGACCGGAAGAGGUUAGUGGAACUGCGAGUGUAGAGGUGAAAUUCGUAGAUAUUCGCAAGAACACCAGUGGCGAAGGCGGCUGACUGGUCCGGUUCUGACGCUGAGGCGCGAAAGCGUGGGGAGCAAACAGG
rnacentral:rRNA from 1 species